rnacentral:rRNA from 1 species
CCCUUAGAUGUUCUGGGCCGCACGCGUGCUACACUGAGUAAUUCAAUGGGUAAGGGAACGCUAGAGCAUUACCUAAUCUUGAAAUUUGCUCGUGAUGGGGAUCGACGGUUGCAAUUUUCCGUCGUGAACGAGGAAUACCUUGUAGGCGCAUGUCAUCAUCAUGCGCCGAAUACGUCCCUGCCCUUUGUACACACCGCCCGUCGCUCCUACCGAUUGAGUGAUCCGGUGAGGCUCUGGGACCUGGACGGAAAGAGCGUUUCGCUUGUUCUGUUUUGGAAACUUGGUCGAACCUUAUCAUUUAGAGGAAGGAGAAGUCGUAACA